UUAAGUCUGAUGUGAAAGCCCACGGCUCAACCGUGGAGGGUCAUUGGAAACUGAAAAACUUGAGUGCAGAAGAGGAAAGUGGAAUCCCAUGUGUAGCGGUGAAAUGCGCAGAGAUAUGGAGGAACACCAGUGGCGAAGGCGACUUUCUGGUCUGUAACUGACGCUGAUGUGCGAAAGCGUGGGGAUCAAACAGGAUUAGAUACCCUGGUAGUCCACGCCGUAAACGAUGAGUGCUAAGUGUUAGGGGGUUUCCGCCCCUUAGUGCUGCAGCUAACGCAUUAAGCACUCCGCCUGGGGAGUACGGCCGCAAGGCUUAAACUCAAAGGAAUUGACGGGGACCCGCACAAGCGGUGGAGCAUGUGGUUUAAUUCGAAGCAACGCGAAGAACCUUACCAAAUCUUGACAUCCUUUGACCGCUCUAGAGAUAGAGUCUUCCCCUUCGGGGGACAAAGUGACAGGUGGUGCAUGGUUGUCGUCAGCUCGUGUCGUGAGAUGUUGGGUUAAGUCCCGCAACGAGCGCAACCCUUAAGCUUAGUUGCCAUCAUUCAGUUGGGCACUCUAAGUUGACUGCCGGUGACAAACCGGAGGAAGGUGGGGAUGACGUCAAAUCAUCAUGCCCCUUAUGAUUUGGGCUACACACGUGCUACAAUGGACAAUACAAAGGGCAGCGAAACCGCGAGGUCAAGCAAAUCCCAUAAAGUUGUUCUCAGUUCGGAUUGUAGUCUGCAACUCAAGUACAUGAAGCUGGAAUCG
rnacentral:rRNA from 1 species